rnacentral:rRNA from 1 species
CCGGCAUCCCGNAAGGGCUGUCGGCGUUGUGGCGUGGAGAAGGUGANGUCCGGNAGCGUCUGACGCGUGUAAGUCUCCCUGAGCGGGGCANCNUCCCAUGGAGGGUGGUAGGCCCGUAUCACGNGCGGCGUACUGUCGGUNUACNCCUUCGUAGAGUCGGGUUGUUUGAGAGUGCAACCCUAAGCCGGUGGUAUACUCCAUCGAAGGCUAAAUAUAANCNCGAGACCGAUAGCGAACAAGUACCAUGAGGGAAAAUUGAAAAGCACUUUGAAGAGAGAGCGAAAUAGUGCGUGAAACCGCUCAGAGGCAAGCGGAUGGGCCCUCGAAGAUAUCGUNCAGGCUUCAGCCANGUGNANNGCUACAUCCCUGAGUGNANUGUGACCGGGCAACCGNCGCAUGCGUUUAGGUGCAUCNGNUUUAGCUGAGCCNUGGUGUANUUGCCUGUUCGGAACGCCACCAUUGCUGNNGCGAUUAUGUGCCCGGUNCGGCUCGUGGACUUUNNGCCGAGUGCNNUUGCNNUUAGNGGANAUGCUCUNGAGUUAACCGUNAACCGGAUAAANUAACGCGGCAUANGCUAGNAAACCNGGGNNANGGUGCUUCUGCUGUGACUGCGCCGGCUAGCCUUGCGCUCACGNCGCGCGCUUGCAAUGCUGAGUUCCUUGUGGNCUCGAGUUGCNGCGCGUAUCAAGGUGUGANUACGCUUGNGUGNUCGGCAAUNGAAGUNNNNAAAGCCCGGUGGCGAGUAGAUGGUUUCCCANCCGACCCGUCUNGAAACACGGACCAAGGAGUGCAUGAUGCAUGCANGUCGCAGGGUGUUUGGUAUACCCGAAGGCUUAGUGAAAGCGAGCGGUACGGUUCGGCCGUGCCAGCCUAGGCGAGAUCNNUGCCUUGUAANAGAGGUAUGGCGCAUNGCCAGCCCGUGCUAUGGCCAUGUGUCUUGCACGGAGCUAAAGCAUGCACGAUGCGACCCGAAAGAUGGUGAACUAUGCGUGUACAGGAUGAAGCUAGGCGAAAGCCUGGUGGAGGUCCGCAGCGAUUCUGACGUGCAAAUCGAUCGUCUGAUAUGCGUNUAGGGGCGAAAGACUAAUCGAACCAUCUAAUAGCUGGUUCCCUCCGAAGUAUCCCUCAGGAUAGCAGGCGCUCGUGANGCGCAGUCUCUCCCGGUAAAGCGAAUGAUUAGUGGUCUUGGGNAUGAAACGUNCUCAACCAAUUCUCAAACUUUAAAUGGGUGAGAUGGCUGGCCUACUUGAGUGAGGUCCGGCCGCAAACAUCUCGGAUGGCUGAGUGCCUAGUGGGCCAUUUUUGGUAAGCAGAACUGGCGCUGUGGGAUGUACCGAACGUUGAGUUACGGUGCCCGAGUGAGACGCUCAUCAGAACCCAUAAAAGGUGUUGGUUGCUAUAGACAGCAGGACGGUGGCCAUGGAAGUUGGAAUCCGCUAAGGAGUGUGUAACAACUCACCUGCCGAAGCAACUAGCCCUGAAAAUGGAUGGCGCUAGAGCGUCCCACCUAUACUCGACCGUUGCGGCACCGAUUAGUGUCCGCGUGUAACCCGCGCGGAUUNCUAUUUGGUCGGCAAAUUAUUCCGCAACGAGUAGGAGGUGCGCGGCGGUAUGCGUCGAAGGGUUUGCGGCGUGAGCCGGCCUGGAGCUGCCGUCGGUGCAGAUCUUGGUGGUAGUAGCAAAUACAGAAGCGAGAACCUUCUGGACCGAUGUGGGGAAAGGUUCCAUGUGAACAGCAGUUGAACAUGGGUCAGUCGAUCCUAAGGAAUCGGCGAAAGCCGUUCAGACGCGGUGUGUGCUACAACCAUCGUUGCAGCCGGACUCGUGCCGGUUGUGGCGUGGGAUCGUGUGCGUUCUUGCGUGCGCGAUCGCCGCACCUUCCGAAAGGGAAUCGGGUUAAUAUUCCCGAACCCGGCAACGGAGACUGGUUGUCCGUAUGGUGGUCGGUGUUCGUCGUCCGUACGGCUGCUUGCAGUUUGUGCGGCGCGACCCGGCUGCUGGGGCAAUUCAAUGCGGUAACGCAAAUGAACUCGGAGACGCUGGCCGACACCCUGGGAAGAGUUGUCUUUUCUUCAUAAGGGGUCGCCUCCCUGGAAACGGUUUAGCCGGAGAUAGGGAGAU